rfam:Stegodyphus mimosarum contig55791, whole genome shotgun sequence.
GCCGUCGUGGUGUAGUGGUCAGCACGCUCGACGCGUAACUGAGAGGUCCGUGGUUCGAUUCCUGGCGAAGACG